UACAGAGGGUGCGAGCGUUGUCCGGAAUCACUGGGCGUAAAGGGCGCGUAGGUGGUGGCUUAAGCGUGCGGUGAAAGCUCGGGGCUCAACCCCGAGUCGGCCGUGCGAACUGGGCUCACUGGAGCAUAGUAGAGGCAGGUGGAAUUCCGGGUGUAGCGGUGGAAUGCGUAGAGAUCCGGAAGAACACCCGUGGCUAAGGCGGCUCUCUAGUACGGUACUGACGCUGAGACGCGAAAGCGUGGGGAGCAAACAGG
rnacentral:rRNA from 1 species